AGCAGUUCUUGACCCUUUGGCUGUUACAGACCAGGCCAUUAGAAAUGGUUCUCCCAGUAACUUGGUCAAUGUGUGGUCCACAAAAAUUGGAUUUGUUACUGGGGUGCAACAGGUAAAUGAUGAGCCACUUGAGAGAGACAUUGGUUGCUGGUUUCAGUGUUUCACCAGUCUGGGCGCUCAGUGGUAUUUCACAAAUCAGACACACCCACUUCCAAAAGAACUUCUAUUAUUUAUAAAUUUAAACCAAGAAAGAAAUUAGCAUUAAGUGGUUGCAAGUGACAUGGUUAUCUUCUUAGCCAGUAUUUUGUCUUCUUUUGGUUAGUGAUUGUCUCUCUUCUCACUGUAAUUAGUCCACUGAGUGCAUUGCUCAGUCUGCCUCUUCUUUUGGGCUGGGGAGGUUCUUGAGUUGCCGCUCCACGAGUCGGUGGUCACAAUCUCCCCCUGCAGGAAUUACUUUUUACCAGUCAGAGCUGAUUUCAGGACAGUUGGGUUUCUUAGUUCCUUAUCCUGGGAGUUGUUCCAGAUUUCCAUGGGGCCCCUCAAUUCUGCAUUCUUUGUGUCCACUCUCAGUGGGCAUCCUUCUCCCCAAACUUUGUUAAGCCUUCCCUGGGUCUGAGCUCCUUGAAGCAUGUCAAGCCCUGAACCUUAACAAGGCAAUUCUACCAACAAGGAAUUUGUUUUUCUGCCCCAUGGGCAUCACUUAGAUCUUGUUUGUGAGUUGUUGUCUAUUUAAUGGACCAUAUCUCCCAGUUGAUUUGGCUUGAACAUACAUAAAGAUCAAACAUGAAUACAAGCGGCAUUCUUCCUAAGAAAUCUUUUACAUAUUCUGCAUUUUGCAUCACAUAUAACUCCAUUCUUAAAUUAGCUUAAUUAAGGAGGAAGAUAAUGACAAUUUUCUAAGGGCAUACUGCUUCAAGUAAUUUUUAGUUUCCAUGGACUGUCUUUGAGAAUCUCAGGUCACCUUUUUUAGCUGUGUGUAGGCUGAACAGAGCAAAAAUUUUGUGUUGUUUUGUAGCAGAGGAGCCACAAUGUGUGGAAGGGUCCACUCUUAGAAUUUGGGAAAGUAGCUUGUUUAUGCUUGUUUUUAAACCAGCUGAAUAGAGUCCAUUUCAAAUAGGAAGCAUUGCUGACUAUUUAUAUAACUCAUUUCAAGGGUAGCUCCAGGGAGAGAGAGAAUAAGAGAUCUAAUUUCUGAAAAUUAAAUUACAGUGUAUGGACAGGAAAGCAGAAAUGUUACACUGAACAGCCAGGAGCAGGUGGAUGGCUCUGGUAAUGGAACAGGAGCUCAUGAUGCACCUGUGGCUGACCCAGCCCCUGCAGAACAGGGAGCAGCAGAGGAGGACACUGCACAUUCAGAUUCUGUUUCUUCCAGUGCACAGCAAAGAGUUGUCAUUAGGUGUCCAAUUUGCAUGGAAUUUUACUCCGAGAUUCUACAACAUGGACAACAGCUUGUGGUGACCCUGUGUGGCCAUGUCUUCUGCACUAGAUGCCUCCCUAUUGCCCUGGAGACUACUCACAGGUGCCCAACCUGCAGGGCGGAACAAUAUCCAGAUGAAUAUAUUAAUAUUUUUUUAUGAGUGCUUCUCAGGACACACUCAGAUGGAUCUUGGACAAUAGGCAGUGGAGAGACUUGUUUCUUUGUCUAUAUAGUUCUUCCUGUACAUAGUUUCAUUUUUUUCUGAAUUCAAUUUAAAUAAAGUUUUGAAUAGUUGAAA